rnacentral:lncRNA from 1 species
AUGCCAGAGGCUCUAUUUCCUAGCAUUUUACAGCUCCUAUAACUGUAGAAUGGUUGUAGGUCACAGGUAUAACCAAUGAAAACACAACCUAAGAUACAAAUCAGGAGCUACUGAUGCAAAGAAUGGGGACCAGGAGGAAGAGUUUCUUCGAGACCUGGUGGUUGAAGAGCAGUGGAUCAUUCUUGGCUGUGGUGGGAGAGGUGCUGAACGUUGUUCACGCUGGCUAUGUCAUGAGUGGAAUCUAUGGCGUCAAGGCUAGAGCUGGAGGGAAUGGGCUCCCCAUUGAGGUGAUGGACUUCAUCCCUGGUGCUAUUCAAGCAGUGGCUGUGGGCUUCCAGUCAGGGAUGCAGUGAAUGAGCCUCUUAUACCAGAGAAGGAUGGAUAGAGAAAAGCAUCAUUACAAAAGUGAAAUGUGUGAAUUUUAUUCUGGCUUUGAACAUUGAGUAGACGAAGAAGACAAUUCCAGACGGAGGAAACUCCACAAGAAAUAUCAUGGAAAUUUGAAAGAACACAGUGGGCUUGGGAAGAGAGAUCUCAGUGGUGGAAGCACCAUCAUCCCAAGGAGACUUAGGACAUUAUUUGAAGAGAGUUUUCCCCUGAGGAAAGUGCUUCAGAGGAGAAAAUACACCAGUUUGAAAGAAACAGCCACGGUUUGCAUGGUGUUCCAUGGUUUGUUUCUACCUUGCUGUGCAUGACCUCCACUGCUAAGGUCAUUUAUGGCCCAAGAUGAUUACUCCAGCUCCAGCCAUCACAUCUGUAUUCCAUCCUGCAGAAAGGAAGAAAGAAGGUGCUUCCAAGACCAAGAUAACCAGGCAAUCAUAGUAGAUGCAUCAAUGCACCCUUGCCCAAGGGCCUAGACAAGAGGAGGAAGGAAAGGAGGAGCACGUGCACAAAGCUAAGGAGGUGAUUAACAACAUGAUACAGUAUUGUUUAGCUUCGCAUGAAUUUUAUCACCUUGCCUAGAACCAGCCACCAUCUGCCAGGGCUCCUGACUUUUUCUGAAAUGAAUAGACACUAAAGCCUGCUGGGGAAUUUCAUGGAAAUCAAGAUGACUCAACCCAGAGUCCAUUUCAAGGCUAGGAUGCUAGAGGACGCCAACAAAGGAGUAGGGAAGUGAAACGGAUCAGCUCACAUCCAAGCCCUUGCAUGAUCAAUCCUGCAGUAGGAGUGCUGCUCAGUUGGGACUCAUGAGAGCCCGGAAGAGGAAAAAGCAGCUCUAAGCAUAGCAAAGAAGCUGUUAUGGAAAAGACCCAAAUGUUAAAAUGGUGGACAUAGUAAAGUGAUUGGUUCUGCUUAGGGGAAUCUAGAUCCCCACAUUUUGACCUCCACUGGAGUCUCAGAAGAACAAGUGCCAGGGGGGCUUGCCACAGAGGCCAAGGCAGUGAAUGUCAGGCACAUCACAGUCCCCAAGAUGGGGAGAAGACUGAGAUGCAGGGUAACAACUGCAAUCCAUUCAUGGGAGCCAUGUUUAUCUUAAAUCAUUGACAGUGAGAUAAGGAUCAUGUCAGCCUUCAUACCUUUGAUGAUGAUCCCAGGCUGCAACAGUGACACAUAGAACUGGAUUCAGUAACUAACUACAGAUUCCAUCAACCAGGACUAGUAAAGUGAAAGGCAGAAAUUGGGAGGAGGGGUUUCUUUCUUGCUUAUAAAACUUUAUUUGGUUGUGUUGAGUAUGUGCAUGUAUGUAUGAAAUCCCAUAAAGCAGUCUUCUUAGGAACAAGCCAACAUGCCACAAUGUAGGAGAUCUUUGGAGCACUGGCCUAAAUGGCAGAGAGCUCAAGGGACUCUGCUUUGUACAAGGCAUGAUUUGUACCACCACCACUAUCCCUGUUUCAGAGCACUGUUGAAUUGUUCCAAACCUGGAUUUCUAUGUCAGCUCCCUGUCUAUAGUACUUGACUGAUAAAUGCUAGUUUCUGAAAUCUGCUUUGGUUCUAUAAUUUAUUAGACAGCUUUUUCUUCCCAUUUUAUUACUUGUUUUUACUGUCAUUGGUAUAUUAUCUCUUACAGUGAAAACAUUCAUAGGCUGAUUGAAGAGAAGAUCUGAAAUUAUUAGGCAGCAAGCAUACAAAACCCUUGCUUUAUAAAGAUAAUAUCUUAAAGGCCUAAUGUCUAUGGUUCAAAGCAGCCUGGAGAUGUUGGCUAAAUCUUCCAUCAUAGAGUCCUCAUGGGAUCUGGAAGCUCUGAUUUAUCUUCCU